rnacentral:rRNA from 1 species
GUCGAGGAUCUUUUGCAAUGCGCGAAAGCGUGACAAAGCGACGCUGCGUGGAGGAUGAAGGCCUUCGGGUUGUAAACUCCUGUCAUUAGGGAAAAACGGCGGGCGAGUGAAUAUCCCGCCCGUGUGAUGGUACCUGAAGAGGAAGCCACGGCUAACUCUGUGCCAGCAGCCGCGGUAAUACAGAGGUGGCGAGCGUUGUUCGGAUUUACUGGGCGUAAAGGGUGCGUAGGUGGUUUCGUGUGUCGGGUGUGAAAUCCCACUGCUCAACGGUGGAACGUCAUCCGAAACUGCGAGACUAGAGUGCAGGAAGGGAGAGCGGAAUUCUCGGUGUAGCGGUGAAAUGCGUUGAUAUCGAGAAGAACACCGGCGGCGAAGGCGGCUCUCUGGAAUGCAACUGACACUGAGGCACGAAAGCUGGGGGAGCAAACAGGAUUAGAAACCCCGGUAGUCC